rnacentral:rRNA from 1 species
AUUGAACGCUGGCGGCAGGCCUAACGCAUGCAAGUCGAGCGGCAGCGGAAAGUAGCUUGCUACUUUGCCGGCGAGCGGCGGACGGGUGAGUAAUGUCUGGGAAACUGCCUGAUGGAGGGGGAUAACUACUGGAAACGGUAGCUAAUACCGCAUGACCUCGAAAGAGCAAAGUGGGGGAUCUUCGGACCUCACGCCAUCGGAUGUGCCCAGAUGGGAUUAGCUAGUAGGUGAGGUAAUGGCUCACCUAGGCGACGAUCCCUAGCUGGUCUGAGAGGAUGACCAGCCACACUGGAACUGAGACACGGUCCAGACUCCUACGGGAGGCAGCAGUGGGGAAUAUUGCACAAUGGGCGCAAGCCUGAUGCAGCCAUGCCGCGUGUGUGAAGAAGGCCUUAGGGUUGUAAAGCACUUUCAGCGAGGAGGAAGGCACCAUACUUAAUACGUGUGGUGAUUGACGUUACUCGCAGAAGAAGCACCGGCUAACUCCGUGCCAGCAGCCGCGGUAAUACGGAGGGUGCAAGCGUUAAUCGGAAUUACUGGGCGUAAAGCGCACGCAGGCGGUUUGUUAAGUCAGAUGUGAAAUCCCCGCGCUUAACGUGGGAACUGCAUUUGAAACUGGCAAGCUAGAGUCUUGUAGAGGGGGGUAGAAUUCCAGGUGUAGCGGUGAAAUGCGUAGAGAUCUGGAGGAAUACCGGUGGCGAAAGCGGCCCCCUGGACAAAGACUGACGCUCAGGUGCGAAAGCGUGGGGAGCAAACAGG